AUUGCUUAUUCCGGCAUAACGUGCAGGCUGGUUUUAGGAUNUGGGCUCGGGAGUUGGACCCGGAGCUUGCUCCCUCCGCUCCGCGCAUCGUCCCGGUAUUGCAGUGCCUCCGGGAACGGUGCACCCCCC
rnacentral:snRNA from 1 species